GUACACGCUGUGACUAGCAUAUCAAUAAGCGGAGGAAAAGCAUAACAUGUAUACCUACGCUUAGGAUGUUGACACACGCGCAUGCUCGACUCUAUACAUGACUCUGUGCAUAUCAAUAAGCGGAGGAAAAGAAACUAACAAGGAUUCCCUUAGUAACGGCGAGUGAAGCGAGAAGAGCUCAAAUUUGAAAUCUUCAAGGUUUUACCUUGACGAAUUGUAGUUUAAAGAAGUGUUUUUCUGUUACGAUUCGGUAAUAAGUUCUUUGGAAUAGGACAUCACAGAGGGUGAGAAUCCCGUCUAUGAUUGCCAUAUUUGUAGCUUUGUGAUACACUUUCAAAGAGUCGGGUUGUUUGGGAAUGCAGCCCAAAACGGGAGGUAAAUUUCUUCUAAGGCUAAAUAUUGGCGAGAGACCGAUAGCGAACAAGUACCGUGAGGGAAAGAUGAAAAGAACUUUGAAAAGAGAGUUAAAUAGUACGUGAAAUUGUCAAAAGGGAAGCGUUUAACACCAGUGUUGUUUUCUGAAAAUCAACCUCUGUUAGCUUUAUGCAUGUUUGUUUAGACCUAAUCAGCUAUCUUUCAUGUUCUAUUGUUUGCAGUGGUGCACUUUUCAGUUUACAGGUCAACAUCAGUUUUUUUUACCGUAAAAAAGUUAAAGAAAGGUAGCUCAUGGCUCCGGUCGUGAGUGUUAUAGUCUUUUUCCUAUGCGGUAGGAGAGACUGAGGUCUGCAGUGUAGGCUAUUUGGCUAGAUACUCAGGUGCUAUGUGAUACCAUUUCAUAAACAACUUGUUGAUUAUGUUUUUGUCUAUUGCAUACUCGCUUGUACUAUCAUACCUACGCUUAGGAUGUUGAGUAGCGACAUACGCAC
rnacentral:rRNA from 1 species